rnacentral:rRNA from 1 species
CGGACGGGUGAGUAACGCGUGGGUAACCUGCCUUAUACAGGGGAUAACAGUUAGAGAUGACUGCUAAUACCGCAUAAGCGCACAGGAUUGCAUGAUCUGGUGUGAAAAACUACCGGUGGUAUAAGAUGGACCCGCGUCUGAUUAGCUUGUUGGUGAGGUAACGGCCCACCAAGGCGACGAUCAGUAGCCGACCUGAGAGGGUGACCGGCCACAUUGGGACUGAGACACGGCCCAAACUCCUACCGGGAGGCAGCAUG